GAUGAAGAACGUAUCGAAAUGCGAUAAGUAGUGUGAAUUGCAGAAUUCAGUGAAUCAUCGAAUCUUUGAACGCACAUUGCGCCCCUUGGUAUUCCAUGGGGCAUGCUUGUUCGAGCGUCAUUUGUACUCUCAAGCUCUGCUUGGUGUUGGGUGUUUGUCCUUUCCCUGCGUUAGGACUCGCCUCAAAUUCAUUGGCAGCCGAUAUAUUGGUUUGAAGCGCAGCACAAUUUGCGAUUCGGGCUGGUUAUUGUUGGCGUCCAGUAAGCACAUUUAACACUUUUGACCUCGGAUCAAGUAGGGAUACCCGCUGAACUUAAGCAUAUCAAUAAGCGGAGGA
rnacentral:misc_RNA from 1 species